CGCCGCCGGAAGGAGCCGGGCCGGGGGCCCCGCGGCUGUGCGCUAAGGGUCGGCGCCUGUGCAGCGCGAGCAGCGCGGCCGGGCCUGCAGAAAGUUUCCCCGCCGCCGCGGCGGCAGGUGGACGGCAGGCUGAGACUUGUUGCCGUUCGUGAUCGUUUUGGCCGCGUUUCAUCAAGCAUUUGUGACUCGAGAACUGUCUCGGCCGGUGCUCCACAAAACCACCCUGUUUCUUGGGCUGGCUUGACGCUAAUAUCCCCAACAAGCUUCCUGCACGGUGUAACCGGGCUGCGUUUUGUGCCCCUUCGCACGGGGAAGGGUUAAAAGGCCCGCUGUGCUGAGCGUUCUGGUGCUCGCUGGCUCCUGGCCCAGCCCUCUCUAGGUGCUGUAUUGCAUCAGAGCGGGCACGAGCACCUCGCUGCGCUCUCCUCCGCGCGCUGUACUUGGAGCGCUUUGCCGUUUCCCACGGCAUGUUAAUUUUUCCCCCUGUGGUCUCCAGGAUUUCUUCUCGUGUGUUUUUUGGAGGAUGUUCUCCCCUGGCCCUCCCACCCAGGUUGAGCCAGGGCGUUGCUCCACCGUGCCCUAUACCGGGCACCUGGAACCCAUCUUGCACCUCUGCCGCACAGUGAGCCCUUGGUCUCGAGACACUUCCUACUCAAGUGUCCAAACGUCGCUGCAGAACAGCCCUUCUGUGCAUUACCCAGCGAGGCUACGGAGCUCCGAGUGUUGCAAAACUUGCUAAAUACCUUGGAUGGAAUCAGUAAGCUGCAGAGCCUGUUGGAAGCUCGUCCUUUCUCCAGCUAUUUUUCGUAGAGGGACAAUUCUGGCUGAUGACUUUUUCUCACCUGAUUUUGUAGUAAUUGUCAAUUGUAUUGUCAGGUCUUCUGGUCUGUUUCACAAGUGCCUACUGCAAUGCUCAACUUUGUGCUAAUGUAAGAUAAUACGUCUCCAUCUGUAGAUCGGCUUGACAGCACAGCUUGAGGACCAUAUGGCCUUGACUCUGACUGCCCACCAUUUUUUCAGUAUUACCCCCAAGACUCUUUCAUUUCCUUUGUCAGACAGGAUUAUUAGAAUUCUCUGUUUUGCUCCAAAUAAAUUUAAAAAAAAAUUA